CACGUCUCUCUCUCUCUCUCUCUCUCUCCCUCUUCCUCUCCUUCUCGUCCUCGCCGCCGCUCCACAGUUGCCGCCCACCACCACCGCUACACUGCUGUUCUGAGACGGAGGGAGCCGCGCACGCGGCAGCGUUGCUCCGCCACUGCUGACUCGCCCCACCCCUGAAUUCCAAUUCGCCUCGCCGGAGUCGUUGCAGCGGCUGGGCAGAUCUGGCGCGGCCGUGAGCUGCCCACUGAACGGCAGAUCUGGCGCGGGCAAUAGAGGAUGGGGUCGGACGGCGGUGGGUGGCGCGGAGGCUGGUGAGGAUCUGGUGGUUCUGGCGGCGGAGCUAGAGGGUUUUGCUGCGGAAACCCUAGAUCUGAAGCGGUGUUCUCGGAUUCGACGGCGACGUGGUGCUACGUGGUGGCGCGGAGGCUGGUGAGGAU
rnacentral:lncRNA from 1 species